UAAAUAGUCAGGCUGGCUUUGGCUGGUCGCCGACUUCUUAGAGGGACUGUCAGUGUCUAACUGACGGAAGUUUGAGGCAAUAACAGGUCUGUGAUGCCCUUAGAUGUUCUGGGCCGCACG
rnacentral:rRNA from 1 species